GACAAGUGUUCGAGGUGGGUUAAUAUUUACCGAAAUCGUCGGAUUUUCUUCUAAGUCAUAGAAUUGUCAGCAUGUAUUAUUAGCUUGUUCAUCAUGUUAGUAGCCCGAAUUCAUCGAUUUGCAUGUUUUAUAAAAUUUGAAUUUGGAGUAUAGAUUAGUGAUUUUAGAUGAAAUUAUACAUGUUGAACUGGGAUUUGACUUAGGAGAAAACUCGUUAAAUCUACACUGUCAUUUUCUGAAGGUUACCAGAUUUAGUUUCAAGAGCUGUUAUACUUUUGUAUCUCCGCUGUUAGUGCAUAUUGGAUACUCAGAUUAGUUUAGGGUGAGUUUACGCUUGUGCUGGGGGGCCGAGCUCGUUUUACAGUAGUGUGUAGACUGUUUCGUACUAUCGGGUGUCGUCUAGUUAAUGGUGGACCCAGAGUUACCAGAUUUAGUUUCAGGAGCUGUCGUUCCUUUUGUAUCCCCGCUGUUAGUGCAUAUUGGAUACUCGGAUUAGUGUAGAGUGAAUUUACGCUCGUGCUAAGGAGCUGAGCUCGUUUUACAGUAGAGUGUAGACUGUUCCGUACUGUUGGGUGCCGUCGUGGUUGAUGGUGGACCUCGAUUUCUGUAUCUUGCAUCAGAUUGUGCCAAGGGUACGUGAGUUUUGGUUG
rnacentral:lncRNA from 1 species